CGUAGAUUUGUGUACGCGCACUUGUGUACAAAGUGAAUGGAGGUGGAAAUAGUUAAUAGGGUAGUGCGUGCGCGUGUGACUGAAUAAAGCGCUGCUGUAUGAAGUGAACGGUGGUUCCCUAUAUCACGAUAAUGCCGAAUGUCAUAAAGGUAAAACAAUAUAAAGAUUUCUCUUAGCAAAAUUACAGCCCUGUGUGGAUCAUAAAAACGUGUAUGGACAGGGUCGCGAUGGGUCGUUGUGUGGACCUCAGUCAGAUACUUAGUUCUGCAGACACAGAAACACGGGUAUGGGACUAGACUGGAUUAUGUACUGUCAAGUUUGUCGAUCGUAUCGACAGGGUUCCUGCCAGAAGAUUAUCUUUUCUUGUAAUUCAAUUGAUAAUUACGCACCACAAAUUAUUCAUCACCUUACAUAUAAUAUGAACGACAUUUUGAAUGGUUUUACUUACGGUAAAAUCCUCAUUCACCUCUCCGGUGACCUUCACUUCUGCUAAUUUCUUGGUUUCAUUUCGAAUCGUCGCGGCGAAAA